rnacentral:rRNA from 1 species
GAUGAACGCUGGCGGCGUGCCUAACACAUGCAAGUCGAACGAAGCACCUUACCUGAUUCUUCGGAUGAAAGUUUGGUGACUGAGUGGCGGACGGGUGAGUAACGCGUGGGUAACCUGCCCUGAACAGGGGGAUAACAGCUGGAAACGGCUGCUAAUACCGCAUAAGCGCACGAGGAGACAUCUCCUUGUGUGAAAAACUCCGGUGGUACAGGAUGGGCCCGCGUCUGAUUAGCUGGUUGGCAGGGUAACGGCCUACCAAGGCAACGAUCAGUAGCCGGUCUGAGAGGAUGAACGGCCACAUUGGAACUGAGACACGGUCCAAACUCCUACGGGAGGCAGCAGUGGGGAAUAUUGCACAAUGGGGGAAACCCUGAUGCAGCAACGCCGCGUGAGUGAAGAAGUAUUUCGGUAUGUAAAGCUCUAUCAGCAGGGAAGAUAAUGACGGUACCUGACUAAGAAGCUCCGGCUAAAUACGUG